rnacentral:SRP_RNA from 1 species
GCCAGGCGUGGUGGCGGGCGCCUGUAGUCCCAGUUACUCGGGAGGCUGAGGCAGGAGAAUUGCUUGAACCCAGGAUGUGGAGGUUGCAGUGAGCUGAGAUUGCACCACUGCACCCCAGCCUGGGUGACAGAGCAAGACUCUGUCUCAA